rnacentral:lncRNA from 1 species
AGGAAACAAUAAAAUCACUUUAAUGUGCUACUUUUCAUUUUGAAGUCAUUACAGUAUCAUUUGCAAAACUCAACAAGGAAAGAUGCCUGUGGAUGGCCGUGUUCUGGGAGUCACUGUGAUGAGCCAGGUUCUCACACGUCCCUGAGGAACUAGAGAGGAACGCCUCUGGGAAGCCCAGCCAGAGCCAACCGGAAGGGCCUUUUGGUGAAGUCUGACAUCCUACAUUAGUUUCUCUGGACCUGGCCUCGCAGGAGUUUCCAGCUCAUGAGGGCAGAGGAGAUGAAGAGAGGCCGAUCGACGUGAGGGUUGUGCAGGCGGCCCCUCUGAGGUGUGACUCCAGUAAGUACUCUGGAAUUACUUGCUGAGAAAGAAAAGUCUGGAUGCCAAGAAAGUAGAUGAUGCAUAUCUGAACCUGGAAACCGCUUCCCACUGUAGAGCGUGUCUGAGUCAUGUCCCUUAGCUUCAGCAGAGCAGAUCCAGCAGGCUCUGAGCUUGGCCUCUUUGCCUGGAGCGAGACCUCUAGGUAAUGUCUCCAGAGAGGGUGGCACAAAGGAUCCUGGAUCUCCUGAUCACAGCAGCCCAAGAGUGCCGUGCGUGCACCAUGGCUCAAGAAGAAGACUUAAAAAGGGGAAA